rnacentral:rRNA from 1 species
AGAGUUUGAUCCUGGCUCAGAUUGAACGCUGGCGGCAUGCCUUACACAUGCAAGUCGAACGGCAGCACGGGAGCAACCCUGGUGGCGAGUGGCGAACGGGUGAGUAAUACAUCGGAACGUGUCCUGUAGUGGGGGAUAGCCCGGCGAAAGCCGGAUUAAUACCGCAUACGCUCUACGGAGGAAAGGGGGGGAUCUUAGGACCUCUCGCUACAGGGGCGGCCGAUGGCAGAUUAGCUAGUUGGUGGGGUAAAGGCCUACCAAGGCGACGAUCUGUAGCUGGUCUGAGAGGACGACCAGCCACACUGGGACUGAGACACGGCCCAGACUCCUACGGGAGGCAGCAGUGGGGAAUUUUGGACAAUGGGCGCAAGCCUGAUCCAGCAAUGCCGCGUGUGUGAAGAAGGCCUUCGGGUUGUAAAGCACUUUUGUCCGGAAAGAAAUCCUUUGGGCUAAUACCCUGAGGGGAUGACGGUACCGGAAGAAUAAGCACCGGCUAACUACGUGCCAGCAGCCGCGGUAAUACGUAGGGUGCAAGCGUUAAUCGGAAUUACUGGGCGUAAAGCGUGCGCAGGCGGUUCGCUAAGACAGAUGUGAAAUCCCCGGGCUUAACCUGGGAACUGCAUUUGUGACUGGCGGGCUAGAGUAUGGCAGAGGGGGGUAGAAUUCCACGUAGCAGUGAAAUGCGUAGAGAUGUGGAGGAAUACCGAUGGCGAAGGCAGCCCCCUGGGCCAAUACUGACGCUCAUGCACGAAAGCGUGGGGAGCAAACAGGAUUAGAUACCCCCGUAGUCC